GGCUUUUAAAUUUGGUGGUAGAGUAAUGCCAUGGUAAGACGUAAGUCAUCGGUUCGAAUCCGAUAAA
rnacentral:tRNA from 1 species